rnacentral:rRNA from 1 species
AGCGAACGCUGGCGGCAGGCUUAACACAUGCAAGUCGAGCGGGCAUCCUUGUGGUGUCUGCGGCCGACGGGUGAGUAACGCGUGGGAACGUGCCCUUCGGUUCGGACUAACUCAGGGAAACUUGAGCUAAUACCGGAUACGUGCUAGAGCAGAAAGGUUUCUCUGCCGAAGGAUCGGCCCUCUUCUGAUUAGCUAGUUGGUGAGGUUAUGGUUCACCAAUGCGACGAUCAGUAGCUGGUCUGAGAGGAUGAUCAGCCACACUGGAACUGAGACACGGCCCAGACUGCUACGGGAGGCAGCAGUGGGGAAUAUUGGACAAUGGGCGCAAGCGUGAUCGAGCCAUACCGCGUGGGUGAAGAAGGCCUUCGGGUUGUAAAGAACUUUGGGUGGGAAAGAAAAGCAGCAGGUUAAUAACCCGCUGUUAUGACGGGACAAAAAGAAUAAGAAAAGGCUAACUUCGUG